UAUAAGGUACGUUAGGAAUACAGCAAAUUUGCUUCAUUAUAAUACCAGUGAUAAAGUUCAACUGCACAGCUCGAAGCAUAUGCUUGUAAUGAUAAAAGUUCAUUGUUGAAAGCUUUUCAAGCUUCACUAAGUAUACAAGUUAGUUAAGUGUACUAUCAAAGUCACUUAAAAUCUACAUUAGCCCUGACUCUCUGCCUUGGCUGUGCAGGCGCACCUCCCGUACCUCCUCCACCACCAUUUCCCUGUGUUUGGCUCAUGCCUCCCACUCCUCCUCCGUAGUUCUGGCUCUGCAUAUUCCCUCCCUGCUUUUUUAAAUUUUCAUAAUUCUAUGUUACAAAAACCAUAUUAUUCCUACAAUAAGAGCCGAAUAGAAAAUUAUUGUGAUAAUCUUCCCAUUCUUAACACAGCAUCGAUUGAUAUUGUGUGUAUCAAUGUUUGUCAAUACUGUAGCCAAGUCUUCCAAACACCUGCAGCAAAGUUUUCGGUUUCCUUCAGAUUUUCCAUGUCCAAUUUAUGGGUUAUAUGAGAACUAGCCAACUAUGAGUAAAAUUCUGAUACUCACUUAAACUAAGAUCGAGUUUAUAGUUACCGUGUUAUGACUUUGAGUGGAGUGGGAAUGACAAUGAUCGUAUACGAUCGAUUGUUAGUCGGAUCAUGCUUAACAAUCCCGGUCGCGCCAUUCCUCCAAAUAAGAUUGUCGAGUUUCAGAAAGCUUUUAGUCUUUUCGACAAGGUGCGAUCUUUCCAAUACAUUAUACUUCAUGAUUAUGGUUAUGUGAUUAUUUAUGGAUUCACAGUAUAUAUUAUUAUGGUGUGGUUCAUAAUUUUCAUGAUUAAGUAUAAUGGUGUGGUGUGCUUGAAUCUAUUAGUGUAUGUGUUGUUUUGUAUCAUAUUUUGUCAUUUCUUGAUCUAUUUUGCCUGAUUCGGAGGAGAUUGGGUAUUUGUAAUCAUUUUUAUAUCAUAUGAUUAGUUACAUUUUUGAGUUUUGGAUUCGCAUUUUCGAUUUUUAGUUUUCGCUAGUGUCCAUGAUGAAUGUUUGUGUUUUUCCGGUUCUUGCACGGUGACGGUGGAGGUGGUGUAAUGGUGCUUAAUUAGCGCGUGUUUUGAUAUUAGAUUAUUCUGAUUGACUUAUUUUGUUGCAUG
rnacentral:lncRNA from 1 species